CAGGGCACAAUACGUGUGGUUGUGCAGGAUGUGGCUGUUCCUGCAGGACCACGUGCUCCCUGCCCCACUGCCUCCAGAGCUUCCCUGACUUCUGGGGGGCUCCUGAAUCCCGUUUUGCCUCCAACAAGGAAGUUAUCCUGGUCUUUCAAAGAUGCUCGUCCCCUGCAACAUGAAUUUUGAGGGCUGAGAGCUGGACACUUUUAAGAAACCAGCAGCUGUGGGUUUAGGGUGCAGCAGAGCCUGCAGUGCAGCGUGAAGUGAUGCAGAAGUGUGGAUGGCACCGGGAGCUGCUGCGCCUGCUCCUGCUGCUAUUCCUGGCACGCAGGGACUGAGCAGCGUCUGAUGGGCCAAAUGGGAGAACUGAAAAUAGUCCACAGUGAAUUCCUGGAGGAGAUGGGAAAAGAUCUGUGAACUGCAGGCCCCCAAUCUGUGAUUUACAGUCUCUCCUUUACAGCUCAGGUUCCCAAAAUGUCCCCAACCUUUCUGCGUGUCUCUGAAGUUGAAUUUGGGUUCAGCAGUUUGGGCUCUAAUAGAACAGCCUCAACAGGGCAUCAGAUGGGGAUGACAAAAGCACUCUGGACACAGCAGCUUUAUUCCAAGGCCCUCAAUCCCUCCCAGGACACGGUGAGC